rnacentral:rRNA from 1 species
GACGAACGCUGGCGGCGUGCUUAACACAUGCAAGUCGAACGGAAAGGCCUGCUUUCCCUUGUGGAUUGCGGGUACUCGAGUGGCGAACGGGUGAGUAACACGUGAGUGAUCUGCCCCCAACUUGGGUAUAAGCCUGGGAAACUGGGUCUAAUUCCCGAUAGGACUGCAGGGUGGUGCCUGUGGUGGAAAACGAUUUUCUAGUGGUUGGGGAUGAGCUCGCGGCCUAUCAGCUUGUUGGUGGGGUAAUGGCCUACCAAGGCGGCGACGGGUAGCCGGCCUGAGAGGGUGGGCGGCCACAUUGGGACUGAGAUACGGCCCAGACUCCUACGGGAGGCAGCAGUGGGGAAUAUUGCACAAUGGGCGGAAGCCUGAUGCAGCGACGCCGCGUGGGGGAUGACGGCCUUCGGGUUGUAAACUCCUUUCGACCGCGAGGAAGCCACCUGGUUGGAAGGGUGGUGACGGUAGUGGUAGAAGAAGCACCGGCUAACUACGUG